rnacentral:rRNA from 1 species
UACAGGGGGUGCAAACGUUGCUCGGAAUUAUUGGGCGUAAAGCGCGCGUAGGCGGCUACUUAAGUCGGAUGUGAAAGCCCUUGGCUCAACUGAGGAAGUGCACCCGAAACUGAGUGGCUAGAGUACGAAAGAGGGUCGCGGAAUUCCCGGUGUAGAGGUGAAAUUCGUAGAUAUCGGGAGGAACACCGGUGGCGAAGGCGGGUUGCUGGGCUGACACUGACGCUGAUGCGCGAAAGCCAGGGGAGCGAACGGG